UAAGUGGCGGCGAUCGACGGUCUCUCACGUGAGAGCGAACAGGGAAUGCGGUGCGGAGCGAAAGUUCCAAGGCCGCAGCUGCCCCCGCAACUGUAAGCGGCGAGCCCGUGCCACAUUGCCACUGGGACAACCCGGGAAGGCGGUGACGGGCGGCGACCCGCGAGCCAGGAGACCUGCCGUUGAUUCGGUCGUGGU
rnacentral:ncRNA from 2 species